AGAGUUUGAUCCUGGCUCAGGAUGAACGCUAGCGACAGGCUUAACACAUGCAAGUCGAGGGGCAGCGAGGGAGUGGCAACACUUCUGUCGGCGACCGGCGCACGGGUGAGUAACGCGUAUGCAACCUGCCCUUCACAGGGGGAUAACCGGGAGAAAUUCCGACUAAUACCGCAUACGUCCUCCGGGGGCAUCCCCGGGGGAUGAAAGAGUUAUCGGUGAAGGAUGGGCAUGCGUGAUAUUAGGUAGUUGGCGGGGCAACGGCCCACCAAGCCCACGAUAUCUAGGGGUUCUGAGAGGAAGGUCCCCCACAUUGGUACUGAGACACGGACCAAACUCCUACGGGAGGCAGAAGUGAGGAAUAUUGGUCAAUGGACGAGAGUCUGAACCAGCCAAGUAGCGUGAAGGAUGACUGCCCUAUGGGUUGUAAACUUCUUUUAUACGGGAAUAAAGUUAGCCACGUGUGGCUUUUUGUAUGUACCGUAUGAAUAAGGAUCGGCUAACUCCGUGCCAGCAGCCGCGGUAAUACGGAGGAUCCGAGCGUUAUCCGGAUUUAUUGGGUUUAAAGGGAGCGUAGGCGGGUUGUUAAGUCAGUUGUGAAAGUUUGCGGCUCAACCGUAAAAUUGCAGUUGAUACUGGCGACCUUGAGUGCAACAGAGGUAGGCGGAAUUCGUGGUGUAGCGGUGAGAUGCUUAGAUAUCACGAAGAACUCCGAUUGCGAAGGCAGCUUACUGGAUUGUAACUGACGCUGAUGCUCGAAAGCGUGGGGAGCAAACAGGAUUAGAUACCCUGGUAGUCCACGCGGUAAACGA
rnacentral:rRNA from 1 species